GACGAACGCUGGCGGCGUGCCUAUUACAUGCAAUUCUAGCGGACUUAAAAAGCUUGCUUUUUAAGUUAGCGGCGGACGUGUGAUUAACACGUGGGCAACCUGCCUGUAAGACUGGGAUAACUUCGUGAAACCGGAGCUAAUACCGGAUAAUCCUUUUCUACUCAUGUAGAAAAGCUGAAAGACGGUUUACGCUGUCACUUACAGAUGGGCUCGCGGCGCAUUAGCUAGUUGGUGAGGUAACGGCUCACCAAGGCGACGAUGCGUAGCCGACCUGAGAGGGUGAUCGGCCACACUAGGACUGAGCUACGGCCAAGACUCCUACGGGAGGCAGCAGUAGGGAAUCUUCCGCAAUGGGCGAAAGUCUGACGGGGCAACGACGCGUGAGUGAUGAAGGUUUUCGGAUCGUAAAACUCUGUUGUUAGGGAAGAACAAGUACGAGAGUAACUGCUCGUACCUUGACGGUACCUAACCAGAAAGACACGGCUAACUACGUG
rnacentral:rRNA from 1 species